AACGACAAGGCUCCAACAGGGCUCUUUCGCGGGGUGUUAGCACACAGGUGAUCUGUGUCCGUCUGGAGGAUGAUGAUGAUUCCAGCACCAGUACGAGCCUGGGCUCACCAUUGGAUGAUUUGGGACAGGAUUUUCCUACUCCGGGGCCAUUUCCAGGCCAUUCUCCGGAAAUGAGAGUUCUGAGCUAAGUAGAGGUGACUACCCUAGAUUCUUCCUUUCUUCCCGUUACCACAGAAUUGUCUCCGGGAAGAGGUUGAUCAGGCAAAGACUACAUUUCCCAGCACCCCUGGCAUCCGGGUCGGGUCACGUGACUCGCUCUGGCCCAUGCACUAUGGGAGGAAGUGGUGUGCAUCACUUCAAGACCCGCAUGGUUAACAAGUGCCUGUAUUUACUCAUCCCUUGUUUCCCCAUCUGCCAGCCGAACGGAUGGGACGCCCAGCCACAUGCUGAAGAAGACGAGGGGACUGAGACUCAAAAACGUUCAAAGAGCUGCCCAGAGUCAUCAGCGGGGAGGUGCAAGUAGCCAGGUGAGAAGCCGGAGUCCACAUCCUAAACCGCUGUGCUCCCUGGCCUUCCAGAACCCACGCAGCUUUCCCGCUCCAUGGACUUGAUCUGGAGGUCAACGGGAACAAGCGAAUGGUGAAGAUGGACGGGCGAGAAUACUACUCGUGAUUCGGCUCAGUGUUGCCAAAGGGAAAUAUUGGAAACAUCUAAAAUGUUCAGCGUCAGGGCCUGUGUUAAAUAAACAGGUACACAGGUGUAAGGGAGUACUAUGCAGUCGUUAAAAAGAACGCCCAGGAGCCAUUUGGGCCGCCACAGAACAAUCCAGAAGAAAAAGCUGCCUGCGGGACAAUGUGCCUCCUGUUCUCCCAUUCCAAAACAAAAGGACGGUUACCGUCACAGCCAGCAUGUUCUGAGAGCGUAAAAUACUCUAUUUCGGGGGAUCCCAUUCAUGGCCUCACUCAACCCCUGCCAAAAUCCUAUGAUGUAAGAGCUGUUACCUUAUAGAGGAGGAAACAGAAGCUCAGAGAAGUUCAGUAACGCGUGGCCCAGGGUCACGUCCUUCGUGAGGGGCGGGGCUGGGAUUCACACCCAGGAAGUCUGAAAGCCACGGCUAACCAUGAAGGUACACAGCCUCCCCAGACACAAACGAGCAUCGUGGCUGACAGGACAUUUCCAUUUCUUCGAAAUGGGGAGAGUGGGAGGUGCAGGGCGUGCGGGAGGUUGCUGGAAAUCAAGGGGAUCAAGUGUUAACAGCCAUAUAGAGGCAGGAAGCAAAGCCUAUAGCUUUCAAAACAUAAACUAUUGGGAGCAAGACCUCCUACCUAAAACCAGGACCCCCAAAGGGCAAGAGACUUGAAGAAAUAAUGGAAGU